CUACGGGCGGCUGCAGUAAGGAAUAUUGCGCAAUGGAGGCAACUCUGACGCAGCCAUGCCGCGUGCAGGACUGAAGGCCUUAUGGGUCGUAAACUGCUUUUAUUUAGGAAUAAACUCUUGUACGUGUACGAGACUGAAGGUACUAAAUGAAUAAGCACCGGCUAACUCCGUGCCAGCAGCCGCGGUAAUACGGAGGGUGCAAGCAUUAUCCGGAUUUAUUGGGUUUAAAGGGUGCGCAGGCGGACUAUUAAGUCAGAGGUGAAAUCCCGGAGCUCAACUUCGGAACUGCCUUUGAUACUGGUAGUCUUGAAUACGGUUGAAGUAGGCGGAAUGUAGUAUGUAGCGGUGAAAUGCAUAGAGAUGCUACAGAACACCGAUCGCGAGGGCAGCUUACUAAGCCGAUAUUGACGCUCAGGCACGAAAGCGUGGGGAGCGAACAGGAUUAGAUACCCCGGUAGUC
rnacentral:rRNA from 1 species